CACGUAGGGUGCGAGCGUUGUCCGGAAUUAUUGGGCGUAAAGAGCUCGUAGGCGGUUUGUCGCGUCUGCCGUGAAAGUCCGGGGCUCAACUCCGGAUCUGCGGUGGGUACGGGCAGACUAGAGUGAUGUAGGGGAGACUGGAAUUCCUGGUGUAGCGGUGAAAUGCGCAGAUAUCAGGAGGAACACCGAUGGCGAAGGCAGGUCUCUGGGCAUUAACUGACGCUGAGGUGCGAAAGCGUGGGGAGCAAACAGG
rnacentral:rRNA from 1 species